rnacentral:lncRNA from 1 species
CCGACUACUUCCUGCUAAAUUCUCUCCUCCUGAGAAGAACAAUGGAAUAAAAAGGAAAAUGGUGAGCUCAACUAGCCCAGUAAAGAAUAUCAUGACUAAAGAUAAUAUAUAACAAAUUAUCAUUAGUCUUCAACAGAGAAUAAUCUGAUAAAAUAUAAUAGACAAUAAAUUUUAGAUCAACAACUGCAGCGGAAACAACAAUCCAUUAGAAGAGUCACGUAGAGAAAG